UUUGUUUCUUAUGUUGUCUGAUACGGAAGUGUGAACUGGGCUUUAUAGUAUUUGUGCAUGAAGCCCAGAGUGGAGCCCAGUCUUCUUCAAGCUGUCUCAACCCACAAGUGGUUUAGGGUUUUCUCCCAUUUUCUUCUCGCGGGUCAAACUCACCGACGAAACCACAGUUAGGCUCAGAUCGCCGUUCCGAUAUACAUAACGCCUCAGAUUUCCAUAAAUGCGUUCUUAACUUCGUUCUCCACGUUAUUCCUCCACUUAUUUCAUUUGAUUGCUUCAACAUCAGAGAGUGUUCGUGGACAGAUGCAUCAUGAGGUUGUAACGAUGAGAGAUCGGCAGGAGAUUAAAGAGAGAUAUCCGAAAUUGUUGAGUUAGACAUUGAGGAGACAGAGUAAGAGAUUCACGUCUAGCAACAAGAGAGAUUUAGAAGAAUAUAGAUGAUAAGAGUCUGGCAAUGGCGAUUCUAAGCAUGAUAAUAUCACAGGAAUAGCUCCCGUUGUGAAGUCGUAUUCUUAAUAACGCAAUCUUCGAUGUAAUAUUAUCACAGGAAUAGCUCUCGAGAAAGGCUUGCUCAGUAUGCUUGCAGUAUGUAUAAAGAGGUCACAUGACUGUCAUCCGGAAGCGGUAGUGUAGAAUUUUGAGCAGACCGCCGACUACCUCCUACUUCAUCGCCGGGGUGCUAUAGCUUCGAAGUUGUCUCACGGUUCUCUAUUUACUUCACAAUCCACAAAUGGUUUUAGUCAGUUGUUUGAAAUACUGAUGCCUAAUAUUUAUUUUAUUCCCAGAAUGCUUAGUUUGUUUGUAUUAAGCAGGCGAGAUUACAAGCGCUGGCCACAACAGUGAACGACGAUCGGGGAGCACCUGUUUGGUUGCAGUUCAGCAAGUUCUACUCCAAAAGAACAUCUAGAAGGGUUAGUGAUGCCUACAGAUGAGAAUGAGAACAGAGUGCUUGAUCCAAAGAAUUCACAGAAUAUUGAAGGACACACUCUUCUUUAUGCUGCAUCAGAAAAUGGGCGUUGAUAAGUUAUUCCAGAGAUGUUGAAGCAUAUGGACCUUGAAACCGCAUUAAUUUCAGCUAAGAACGGUUUUGAUCCCUUCCACAUCACAGUUAAAAAACCAUCUCGACACAUUGAAGAUCUCUUGGACAUUUCGGAUCUGGCCAUGAAAACAGAUUUGUUGUGUGCAACUGCAUUGCAUAUGGCCGCUAUACAUGCAUGUGAUGGAUUGGAAUAUGUUACGCAAAGACAUUCAAGAACUGAAACCAACUUAUCUAGCUGUAGUUCCAAGAGUAUUUGAGACCAUCCACGUAGAAAUUCAAAAGGCUAUUUAGACAUGUUACCUGAGAAUGAAACUUUUCUCCAAUGUUCUCUACAAACAGUAAGCAACUUCAUCGUUAGUAGCCUCUGUGAAUCUCUGUUCACUUUCCUUCCUUUAGAAAAGAUCUAAACGGAUUUGACUGUGUUAAUGUCUGGAAGAGGCUGGACCAUUCUUGGAUUGAUGGUUCAUUGGGUUGGAGAAGAAAUAGAUGAAGAGAGUUUAGAAUAUCACUAAUUGUAGAUGGAUAUGUUAAAUUAAUGGUACACUUGAUGAUUUCUUUUUGACAACAAAAGUUUUAUUUUUAGCA